rnacentral:misc_RNA from 1 species
UGCAGCGAAACAAAUAGAGCGCCGUCGUAAAUAACAAACCGUCCUAUCACGCUUCUAAAAAAGAUAUUUGUGUACAACUCCUGGGUGUAGGAUUAGCGGGUGUUUAAUAUCAAAUAGUUUCUUGUUAGUUUAAAAAAACGAUUAGUAGAAGGGUUUGAUAAGUUUUUGAGAAUAAAUUAAAAGGCGCGUGGAGCGUUCGUAAGAAUUCGGCCUCGUUAUAUGCGUCACGCGCGUGCACGAGGGUACGUACGUACGUCCGUGCGUACGUGCGUGCGUGCGUGCAUAUGUGCAUCUUUAAAUUAAAGGAUUCUAAAAGUGGAUACGAUAUUCGAUAAUCGUCAUCGCCAGGAUGCAACCGCAUGGGGAGGCCAAGCGUCAUUCCCGUCGCCGUCUACGGUUCGCCUAGCUCCUCAUGCUAGUCUCCUCUUCCGAAUUGCUUGUAGCACAGCAUGAAGGAGAUGCUUGGAGGGUGCUGUGUGUGUUCUGAUGAGAGGGGUUGGACCGAGAAUCCGUUGGUCUAUUGCGAUGGACAGGGAUGUACUGUCGCUGUACAUCAAGCGUGCUAUGGUAUUGUUACUGUACCAACAGGACCUUGGUAUUGUAGAAAAUGUGAAUCACAAGAAAGAAGUGCACGCGUGCGCUGUGAAUUAUGCCCGAGCAAAGAUGGAGCACUCAAAAGGACGGAUCAAGCUGGUUGGGCUCAUGUUGUCUGCGCUCUUUAUAUUCCAGAAGUGCGCUUUGGCAAUGUUACAACAAUGGAACCCAUUAUAUUACAGCUUAUACCUUCUGAAAGAUUUAGUAAAUCUUGUUAUAUUUGCGAAGAACAAGGUAGAGGAAGUAGAGCAAAUGUUGGAGCUUGUAUGCAGUGUAAUAAAACAGGCUGCAGGCAGCAAUUUCACGUUACCUGUGCUCAAGCUCUUGGUUUACUUUGCGAAGAAGCUGGCAACUAUCUUGACAAUGUUAAAUAUUGUGGAUAUUGCCAGCACCAUUAUUCAAAAUUGAAAAAAGGUGGUAACGUUAAAACUAUACCACCAUACAAACCUAUACCUGCUGACAAUGGAUCAUCAGAUUCAUCUCCUGAAAAGGAAGCAGAGACUCCAAUAAAAUCAUCAUCAAGUAGUAAAAGGAAAGGAUCCAGUUCAAAAUCAACUACAAAUUCUAAAAAUAAGUCUAAUACUAGUCCAAACGUAGAAAUAAAUGGUGUUGCUGAUGACACCAAGAGUAGCAGUGGUCGUAAUACUCCCAAAGAUGGUUCUGCGAAUACUGGAAAAUUUACGACAUCAAAUUUUGUAGAAACUAUUGUUACACAAUCAGAAAGCGUAUUUGGACACGAUGGAUCUACUUCAGUGACAGCAGCAACUGCUGUUACAACUGCUAAUAUAAAGACGAGUUCUAAUUCGAAUUUGAUUCAUAAAAAUAGUAGUCAAACGAAAUCUAAUUCCUCACAAUCCAAUAAGGGUUCAAGUCAUACAAGUAAACGAAGAAAGACUGGUGCACGUACACCAACUGUGAUAGGAAAUGAAAAUUCAAAUCAAUCUGUUAGUUCCGAAGCUAGUGGAUCUGUAGUAGUUGCUGUUAGUUCAGUAGUUCAGCAAACAGUUUCAAGUAAUAAUGUACAACCUACUAUAACCGAAGCCACUAGUCUUAGUACAACAACUGAGCCUGAAAGAGUAAAAAAGUUAAAAAUCGACAGUCCAGUACAAUCCGCAUCUAGUAUUCCAGUUACUACAGAAGCAACAACUACACCUGUGAUAAUGUCAGUAACGCAAUCUCAAUCAUCAACGUCUAUCCAAUCACCAACUACUACAUCGAAUAGUAUAGUUGUUUCUGUUCCCUUAACUGCUGCAUCUCUCUCUGGUACUGCCCAAAGUGUAGUAACAAGCGCUCCUACGUUGUAUCAACAAUUACAACAAAGUAUUAUUACUACUGCAGCUAACACCGAGCCAAGAUCUAGUAUCAUGCCAAGUACAGAGAGAUUUACAUUAGAAGAAGCUCCUACUAAAAGAUCUCGAUCUCAAUCUUCAGACAAAGAUAAAGUUCGUAAACCAAAACGUGGGUCAUCUAAUAGUCAACCAGCAUUAGCACAAACACAGCCACAAUCUCAAGCUCAAUCACAGCUGCCAAUAUCAUCGAUUGCAACAUCUGUAUCUAGUAGUGCAGUUGUUACGACUUCUAAAAGAGGUGGAAGAAACAAUCAUCAAACAUCUCCGCCAACUGUAUCAGUAGCACCUGUUCCUUCAAUAAUACAAGGUCCUUCAUUGGUAACUGGUGGCCAUUUUAGUAGUAUUGGUUCAGUAGGCUCGAUGGGUCCUACUGUUAAAGAUUCACCUCCUAGUAGUCCAGGUUCUGAAAGUAUGAGUAGCAACGGUCCGGGACGUCGUAAAAGAAAAAGUACUUGUCCAGCAUCUACGACGCCUACACCACCGGCAUCUAGUACACCUACAACUAUGACAAAUAAUAAUAAAGAGGAAAAAGAUAUUAAGCUAUUUCAAAAUGGGGUUAGUGCGCCACACAUGUUAGGAAAUCAAUUAAAUCCAACUUCGACGAUGGCACAAAAGAUGUCUGAUACGUUAUCACAAGAAUUGGAAGCUCAUUCUAUUUUUACAGAAGCAAAUAAUUCAGCAGCUACUUUAGUUGGUCCACAGUUACAUAGUCGUGUAAUAGCCUCUAUACGAUCGAAUCAAACAACUACGGCACCUACCUCUUUUUCAUCUGUAUUUUCAACAAACAGUAAUACAAAUAUUAGUACUGCGAGUUCUGGAACAUUAGGUAGUGGAGUGAUUCCACAAACGUUAGAUCAGCUGUUAGAGAGACAAUGGGAACAGGGCAGUCAAUUUUUAAUGGAGCAAGCGCAGCAUUUUGAUAGUGAGUUUGCAUCACUACUUUCGUGUCUUCAUCAGCUGAGAGCUGAAAAUGUCAGAUUAGAGGAACACGUAAAUAGUCUUUUACAGAGGAGAGAUCAUUUAUUAGCAGUGAAUGCUAGACUAGCAAUUCCUUUAACAACUCAACCGAGUACACAUCCAGCGAAUAAUGUACAUCCAACGGUUAAUCCAUCACAUGCUAAUGUCGCCCAUCCUGAGUUCCGUAAACCAUCCAACUACAUUAGAAAACGGAUUGCCACCGGAUCCCUCACCACCUGCAGCAGCAUCCCUAUCUCAGUAUCAGCACAGAGGAUCUUUGGUUGCUCCACAACCGAGUCCUACAAUAAGACAUAGUCCAGCAGCAAGUGGAUAUUUACAAGGACAAAGUAAUAUUGUAUCACCUGCCACAGCUAGUAGCUCGGGAGUAGUUAGAAAUUCUUCAGUAACACCAGAUCCCUUACGUGGUGUUCCCCGAUCAGUUCCACAAUCAUCAAGUAGUUAUAUGCCGUCGAUGUAUCAACCAGCAAUGUCAACUCUCUCUAGUAAUCAAGUAGGUAGCGUUCAUAAUCUUCAUUCACAUGGACCUUCUCCGACUAACCACGGACCGCCGGGUA